rnacentral:rRNA from 1 species
UACGUAGGGGGCAAGCGUUGUCCGGAAUCAUUGGGCGUAAAGAGCGUGUAGGCGGCCCGAUAAGUCCGCUGUGAAAGUCCAGGGCUCAACCCUGGAAUGCCCGGUGGAUACUGUCGGGCUCGAGUCCGGAAGAGGUGAGUGGAAUUCCUGGUGUGAGCGGUGAAAUGACGCAGAGUAUCAGGAGGAACACCAACAGCGAAGGCAGCACUCUGGGACGGUACUGACGCUGAGACGCGAAAGCGUGGGAGCGAACAGG